CAAGGAUUCCCUUAGUAACGGCGAGUGAACCGGGAAGAGCUCAAAUUUGUAAUCUGGCGUCCUUCGGGCGUCCGAGUUGUAAUCUAUAGAGGUGUUUUCCGCGCCGGACCACGUUUAAGUCUCCUGGAACGGAGUAUCAAAGAGGGUGACAAUCCCGUGCUUGACGUGACGACCGGUGCUAUGUGAUACACUCUCAACGAGUCGAGUUGUUUGGGAAUGCAGCUCUAAACGGGUGGUAAAUUCCAUCUAAGGCUAAAUAUUGGCGAGAGACCGAUAGCGAACAAGUACCGUGAGGGAAAGAUGAAAAGCACUUUGGAAAGAGAGUUAAACAGCACGUGAAAUUGUUAAAAGGGAAACGAUUGAAGUCAGUCGUGCACUUGGUAUUCAGCCGUCUCUGGCGGUGUAUUUGCCUUGUGCGGGUCAACAUCAGUUCUGACCGGCGGAAAAGGGCUGGAAGAAGGUGGCACCCUCGGGUGUGUUAUAGCUUCCUGUCGUAUACGUCGGUUGGGACUGAGGAAUGCAGCUUGCCGCAAGGCCGGGGUUCGCCCACGUUCAAGCUUAGGAUGUUGACAUAAUGGCUUUAAACGACCC
rnacentral:rRNA from 1 species